rnacentral:rRNA from 1 species
CUGCGGAGGGAUCAUUACUGAGUGAGGGCCCCCCGGCCCGACCUCCAACCCUUUGUGAUACCACUAUGUUGCCUCGGGGGCGACCCGGCCUUCGGGCGCGGGGCCCCCGGUGGACCCCCCAACGCUGCAUCUUUGCGUCUGAGUACAAAUAUAAAUCAAUUAAAACUUUCAACAACGGAUCUCUUGGUUCUGGCAUCGAUGAAGAACGCAGCGAAAUGCGAUAAGUAAUGUGAAUUGCAGAAUUCAGUGAAUCAUCGAAUCUUUGAACGCACAUUGCGCCCUUUGGCAUUCCGAAGGGCAUGCCUGUCCGAGCGUCAUUACACCACUCAAGCCUGGCUUGGUAUUGGGCGUCGCGUCCCCGCGCGCGCCCUAAUGUCUCCGGCUGGACCGUCCGUCUCUAAGCGUUGUGCAUUCAUCCGCUUGCGAGGCCGGGCGGCUCCGGGCCGUUAAACACCCCCAUCAAAGGUUGACCUCGGAUCAGGUAGGGAUACCCGCUGAACUUAAGCAUAUCAAUAAGCGG